UUUAUUGGAACGCCUUGAAUUGCUUGGAUUAUGGCGACAAGAGUUCUUUGCUGAUUGCUUCUGGUGGUUUUGACCUGUACCAAGGGUAUGGGAUCCCUGCAAACCUGGAACAACAACUCCUAUUUUUCCAGUUCUCUUCACACUCAAGCUUAUCUCCUCCUGCAAAUGGCAUCCAAAUUACUGGUUUCAUUUGAUAUGAACUUCGCUUCAUGAGAAAUUGGUGUUGUGGGAUCUAAGAACAGCUGGACACCAGGUCGAAGAUGAACCCUGCAACUACAUUAUUCGUGGCACACCUGACGGUGUCAAGUACUUUGGCGAGCAGGAGAAACAUUGCUUCUGGGGCAAUAAAGUGAAGCUCUAUGAACAUCAUGUGGAUAAACUCUUCGCAAUGUUUUGGCACAAGAAGCCAAAGAUCAAGUACUAUGUCUGCACCAUUUGCCAAACCAGGCCAGCGCACGGUAUUCUCAAACAGACGGCCUGCUCUUGAUGCUUAGAUUGUUCAUCUGAAUACGUGUUUCAUAUUGUAGUAUGCAAGUUUCACCCUGAUGCAUGUUCUAUUGUCGUUUAUUUUCCAGUAUUGUUGCCCUUGUUUCCUGUUUUGCAUCAUCUGGUGUGCAAUGUCAUAUUGGUCAUGAUCUAGACAUCUCCAUCGACCACAUAUAUAUUGUUAGCUUAUUGUUCCUCUGAAAUUACACUAGCCAUAAUGCACUAGCUCUUCUAAGUCUCAAGUACAUAAUUUUUUGGGUGGUAACCCUCUUGAGGAUAAUUAUAAUGGUGAUACUUUUUUUGGUGAAUAUAAUGGUGACACAUGUAGUAGAAAAACUUGUGUUGGCCUCCAAAUAAUACCGCCUCAUCUUGGCUACCUGUCUUCUCACUAAACUAAGCCUACUGUCAUACAUACAUGUUAACGAAUAAAACAU